AUUUGUAGAGAAUUCAAAUUUGGCAUAUACACCUAUGCCCACCACCCUUCCGAAGUCUUCACCAACCCACUAUUUUAUGAUAUGUGAGAGCGCCCAACAUAAAGACACAUUACUCCCAAACACCAUCUUUUUUCAUUUUUUUAGUCUGGUAACAAUGCAUUAUGUGUGUUUCCAAACAGUGAAGUCAACAGAAGACCAAAAUCUGUGUUAAUCAAAAAAUGUAUAAACAGCCUAAGCCCCUGUCUCUUUUCUCCUUCCCAACCUUAGCCUUCAUCUCAGACAACUGGGCAACUUACUACCUGCAUGAUUUCCCUCUUAGAUGUUAUUGUUUGCAUUCUCCUUGUGGCUCUUUUAAAACCCGAUCACGAAUACCAAAAAAAAUGUGAAGGGAAGCAAGUAUCUGGUGUCCUCACAGAUGUACUUUCCUCUAUUAUUGCUCCUUGGGGGAAAAUUAUUUAUACUGUUUCUGAAACGCUAUUGCUAUGAUCCUGUAGGUAUGGGCUUAAAGAAACUUUAUAGUUGGGAAGAAAGCUAAAUUGGCCAAAGUGUUAAACCAAAUGCCUCUUUAAGUUCCCUCCAUGCUCAUAGAUUCUGAUAUGCUGUGUGACCAAGGUGACACAAAGGACUAGAGAGAGAGGCAGGAAAUGAACUCAGAUUUCUUCAUUCCUUAUUCUUCCCAGUGUCCCCCAUUCCUAAGCUUUCUUUUUAAAUCAGAGUGCUAGUCCAUUUGACACUGUAUUAGGUUUCUUGCUUAAUAAAAUAUUUUUCAACAGUUGGAAAAUCUUUUUAAGGCAACAGGAGACACUAAUCACCAGGGUUCUGAGGAAACUCCCUUUAUUAAUGGAGCUAAUUUUCCCCAGCUGAUUCACAGCUUGUCAAUGUGUCCCAUUUCUAUGAGAAAGUGAAAGAAACUUUCUAUGAGAAAGUGAAGUCAAGGAGAACUAAUGGACAGAGCUCAAAUUAUUGGGGAAAUGUUUUUGACUCCUCAUUUCAAAGAACACAAAUCCUGCCCUGGGGAAAUCUACAUUUGUAAAGAUAGUCUGAGUUUUCAAAAUUGAGACAUAACCUUUGCCACUGUGGUCCUAAGUAUCACCAUGUUCAGUUUGUGGUGCUAGAAUGAAUGUCUGCCUCUUUAUAAAGCAUGUGCCUGAGAUACCAAGAACACCAUGGGCAUCCCUGCUUCUCACUUCCUGCCUGGACUUCUUUAUAUCAUUUGUUGUUCAUUCUGCUCAGAUUCUAUGUCCUGCCUGUUGUAUUAGACAAUACACUCCACACCCUUUUGCUUAUAUUGGGUCUAUCUCCCAGUAUGGGAGAAAGAAUUUAGAAGAAAAAUACUGUAGAC
rnacentral:lncRNA from 1 species